CAUCUCCUUUUGAAAAUAAUUUAAGGUUUAAUCUGCUCAAUGAUGAUUAAAUUGCCGCAGUAUUUUGACUGUGCAAAGGUAGCAUAAUAAUUAGUUUCUUGAUUAGAAGCUUGAAUGAAUGAUUGGACGAGAAAAUUUCUGUCUCUUUUUAAUUUGUUUUUGAAUUUUAUUUUUAAGUUAAAAAGCUUAAAUUAUAAUAAAAGACGAGAAGACCCUAUAGAGUUUUAUAUUUAAGAUUUAUUGUUUAUUAGGAAAUAUUUUAAGUUUUAUUUAUUUAGUUGGGGUGACUUGAAGAUUUAAUUAAUUCUUUUUAUAUUAAUUGAUGAUUAUUAAAUUUAUUAUCUAAAUUUUUUAAAUAAAAAAUUAAUUACCUUAGGGAUAACAGCGUAAUUUUUCUUUAAAGUUCAAAUUGAAAGGAGAUUUUGCGACCUCGAUGUUGGAUUAAAAUAAAUUUUUGGUGCAGUAGCUUAAAAAUUAGGUCUGUUCGACCUUUAAUAUUUUACAUGAUCUGAGUUUAAACCGGUGUAAGCCAGGUUGGAUUCUAUCUUUAAUAAAAUAAUAUAAUUUAGUACGAAAGGACCAAUUAUAUAUUAAAUUAAUUG
rnacentral:rRNA from 1 species